rnacentral:lncRNA from 1 species
CUGGAUUAGAUAGUAGUGUCCUAAUUGAUAAUGAAGGGUUUGAACUAACAAAUGAGUCUUGUUUGGAGGGAGCCUUGCUGUGGAGCAUGUUAGGGGAGGAGAUGAAGUCAGUGAGUGCUCGGGCUCUAGACUGAAAGGGACUUGACUCUGAACCCAGUCCUGAAGCCUUAGUGGUGGCAGAAGGAAACCAUGAGAAAAUCUGCUUUCUGAAAAAUCAUGUCUUGACUCACACAGUGUUUCUGAGGGAAAGCAGUGGAGCCUGCAGAUACAUGGCAAGUGAUUUCCAUUUUACCUGGUGUGUUUCAUGAAGGAAGUUAAG